UACGUAGGGGGCAAGCGUUGUCCGGAUUUACUGGGCGUAAAGGGCGCGUAGGCGGCCACCGCAAGUCGGUUGUGAAAUCUCCGGGCUUAACCCGGAACGGUCAAUCGAUACUGCGGGGCUAGAGUGCAGAAGGGGCAACUGGAAUUCUCGGUGUAGCGGUGAAAUGCGUAGAUAUCGAGAGGAACACCUGCGGCGAAGGCGGGUUGCUGGGCUGACACUGACGCUGAGGCGCGAAAGCUAGGGGAGCGAACGGG
rnacentral:rRNA from 1 species